rnacentral:rRNA from 1 species
UACGGAAGGGGCGAGCGUUGUUCGGAAUCAUUGGGCGUAAAGGGCGCGUAGGUGGUCUUGUAUGUCUACCGUGAAAGCGUACGGCUCAACCGUAUUUUGUCGGUAGAAACUGCAGGACUUGAGGCUGGGAGGGGCUGGCGGAAUUCCCUGUGUAGCGGUGAAAUGCGUAGAGAUGGGGGAGAACACUCGUGGCGAAGGCGGCCGGCUAGACCAGUUCUGACACUGAGGCGCGAUAGCGUGGGGAGCAAACAGG